AAUAAAGCAAACCCUGGGUUUCCGUGUCCAACUUUAACUGUCCGUCUUAUAUAAAAUUUUUUUAUAAUUCGUAUUUUCAUUGCUGUUAGAUGAUAAAACAUGAUUAAUAUUUUAUACGUGACUUGUCUUUUUCAUUUUUUUCAUAAUUUUUUUAAAUAAGACGGACGGUCAAACGUUGGGCACGGAAACCAUGGUUUGUCUUUUU
rfam:Oryza sativa Japonica Group DNA, chromosome 3, cultivar: Nipponbare, complete sequence.